rnacentral:rRNA from 1 species
CCCUUAGAUGUUCUGGGCUGCACGCGCGCUACACUGACGCACGCAACAGGUGCCUGCUCCGAGAGGACUGGGUAAUCAUUUGAGUGUGCGUCGUGAUGGGGAUAGAAUAUUGUAAUUAUUACUCUUCAACGAGGAAUUCCUAGUAAGCGCCAGUCAGCAGCUUGCGCUGAUUACGUCCCUGCCCUUUGUACACACCGCCCGUCGCUCCUACCGAUGGGUGAUCCGGUGAAUGAUUCGGACUUCAGCGGCUCCCCUGGGGUGCGCCGGAGAUAGUUUUGUGAACCUUAUCACUUGGAGGAAGGAGAAGUCGUAACA